rnacentral:rRNA from 1 species
UACGUAGGGCGCGAGCGUUGUCCGGAAUUAUUGGGCGUAAAGGGCUCGUAGGCGGUUUGUCGCGUCGGGCGUGAAAACUCAGGGCUCAACCCUGAGCGUGCUUCCGAUACGGGCAGACUAGAGGUAUGCAGGGGAGAACGGAAUUCCUGGUGUAGCGGUGGAAUGCGCAGAUAUCAGGAGGAACACCGGUGGCGAAGGCGGUUCUCUGGGCAUGACCUGACGCUGAGGAGCGAAAGCAUGGGGAGCGAACAGG